UUGAGGUCCCUUUUAGAUGCUUCCUUGGUUCACUGACAUUCUUGUUUUAAACUAAUUUCAGACGACACACUGGUCUUGCUGAACCACUUCACCUGUGUGUAGUGCUUCAUACUACACAAGUGUGCUGUUAUGACCCCAACAGAGACUUGCUAAAGCCAGAGCAUUUCUGAUACUCUCAAUCAGUUGGGAAUAGAACUAUGUUAAUUUAUUCCACAAGGCAGCCCAGCACCUUUCUGAGUUACUAAGUGGAGAUUAGAGCCCCAGGAUGGAAAGAAAGAAGGACUUCGAGGGAAGCAUGGAGCAGCAGGCCCAGACCUCAUUCCUGGUGAAUUUCACCCCAUUCAGUGCUGCCCUGGUGUGAGGGAGUGAACAGAGCAGGAAGGUGCUGCAGUGGAGAAGGUCCCUUUACAAGCUAUGAUGAUUACUCUCAGCAAGCAUCAAGCAAGUUAAAACCCCUUUAUCGAAGUCUGUUAUGUGCUGUCGACAAGCUUCAGUCUAACAAGAAACCAGUUUUCCAGAAGCCUGCAGUCCCCUGCCUGUGAUCUCUAGAUGUCUCUGUUGUCCCAAUACCAGAACAUAUGAAAAAGGCAGGGUUAGCAGAACACUCGGUAAGUGAUCUUACAUAGUGCUUUGUGCUGCAUCUGUCCAUCUUCUCACCCACAGCUAGAUCAGAGUGGGAUCUAUCUGUUCCAUUGUGGGGAAGAAAUGCAGUUUUGCCAUUCCUGUUCUUUUCCACCAAUGCAUAAAUAUUGUGUUUUAAGCAGAACCAGGAAGGGUGAGGAGAAGAGCAGGUGACAAGUGAGUUUAAAAGAAAAGCUGCUGCUGAAACAUACCGUUGCAGAAAGAACCUUACCAAAUGGUUUGGUUCAUUGUUUCACGCAGUUUGAAUUUGUUUUAAAAAGAAAAGUUCAAGAAAAUCAAUGAGAACUUCAGGUCCUAAUACCAUUUAGUAUCUUUAAAAAUCUGUCUUUUUGCAGCAACAGUGGAAAAAAUCAUGGGGGAAAUGAAUUUAUUUUUCUUUUUUCCCCACACCUCUGCAAUUCAUGAGGAUACUCAUCUCUUGUGCAGCAACAUGCCCAGCUAUAUUCUUGAAUAACAG
ensembl:lncRNA